rnacentral:rRNA from 1 species
GAUGAACGCUGGCGGCGUGCCUAAUACAUGCAAGUCGAGCGAACAGACGAGGAGCUUGCUCCUCUGACGUUAGCGGCGGACGGGUGAGUAACACGUGGAUAACCUACCUAUAAGACUGGGAUAACUUCGGGAAACCGGAGCUAAUACCGGAUAAUAUAUUGAACCGCAUGGUUCAAUAGUGAAAGACGGUUUUGCUGUCACUUAUAGAUGUAUCCGCGCCGCAUUAGCUAGUUGGUAAGGUAACGGCUUACCAAGGCAACGAUGCAUAGCCGACCUGGGAGGGUGGUCGGCCACACUGGGACUGGAACACGGUCCAGACUCCGACGGGAAGCCGCAGUAGGGAAUCAUCCGCGAUGGGAGAAAGCCUGACGGAGCAACGGCGCAUGGGUUGAGGAGGUCUUCGGAUCGGAAAACUCUGUUAUUAGGGGAGGACAAAUGUGUAAGUAACUAUGCACGUAUUGACGGUACCUAAUCAGAAAGCCACGGCUAACUACGUG